rnacentral:rRNA from 1 species
UACGUAGGUGGCAAGCGUUGUCCGGAUUUACUGGGCGUAAAGAGCGCGCAGGCGGUCGUUCAAGUCGCGUGUGAAAGCCCCCGGCUCAACUGGGGAGGGUCACGCGAUACUGAUCGACUCGAAGGCAGGAGAGGGUAGUGGAAUUCCCGGUGUAGUGGUGAAAUGCGUAGAUAUCGGGAGGAACACCAGUGGCGAAGGCGACUACCUGCCUGUUCUUGACGCUGAGGCGCGAAAAGCUAGGGGAGCAAACGGGG